CAAUUUAUUAAGUCCCCAACACUCCAUUCCAGUCUGCAUCCCGAGGCAGAAUGGUCAUGCCUUUUCGACGAUGCCGAAGUUCCUUUAAACGCUCUUGCUAAAUAUGUUUCUAAAUAAGGGACGUCCCAUCGUCCCUAUUUACUUGGCCACCCCUGGGGAAAAUAUUGUUUCCAACCUAACAUAUUUAUUAAUUGUUAGGCAACCCAUGUUGCAAUCUUGUUCGUUGCCCCAAACGUGCGUAUGUUUGGUUAUAUAGGUUAUAAUUAAUGUUGACAGAAACAGAAAGUGUUACCCAUUUAUAUACACAAGAAGAAAUUAAGGAAGGAAAAGUAAAAGAUGAAACUGAAGAUUAAAACGAAAUUUCGACCUAAGGGACAAAAUGUGACACAAGUUUUAAAGUCAAGGUGAUUGUACAGUUAAGUCGGAGAACAGAGACAAUUAUUUAAAUAAAAGAAGUUGGAAUGUAAAAAUAAGAUUUAGUUGUUCGAUUAAAACAUUACAAUGAAAUCAUGUGACACAGUGCAUGUGAAGAAAUAAUUAUGAUGCUCAAGUAUUUUCAACAUGAGAUUAAACAAAAUCACCUAUCUGCUUUGGUCAAAAAUGUGACAACAUGAGCUCAAGAUAAGUGUGGAAAAGUUCAUAGUUCAUCUCUGGCAGUUAUCGACAAGAUUCUGGAAUAUGUAUAUCAUCUGCUACAAAAUAUAAGGGCUCAUUAAGACCGAUUUUCUUCAGCCACAAGAGGACAACAAUGCCAACACCACAAAUAAUAGACCACCAGUUAUUGGACAAUUUAAAAUUUCAUAAUGUACAAAAUGGUUCCACAACUAUAUACAUAUUAGGCAAUAUUUUAAGUAACAAAAUAUGCUAAGAU